rnacentral:lncRNA from 1 species
AUGUCGUACCCAGAGACCCCGGACCCCCCUGCCCUCCCCCAUCUACCGGACCCCCCGCUGCUGUCUUGGCACUGUUGGCGUGGCCCGUCACUGCAGCCCCGCCCACUUUCAUGUGCAGUAACGGGGGCGGGGCCAGGACGCAGCCCCUCCCACUCCCAGCUGUCUGUCCCGGCUGCACGGCCCCCCCACCGGAUGCUGGUGGUCCGUUCGGUUUGGGGGCGUGUUCUCCUUCAGAGGCUCCGCCCAACACAGAGGAGUCCUCAGAAAGCGGGUUUCCUGCCGUUGCCGUGGAAACGGGCUGCUGGUUCAAAAAGACGAUUUCAUCCAGGAGGGACGACAGGCCGUCGCUGUCCGGCGCCGGCGGCCGGCUUCCAGCGUGAAGAUCCGGGUUCUGACCCGGACCGUGAGGGCGUGCAGACGAGUUGGAUUCCUCCGACGAGCUCAGUACUAACUCUCUCCUCUGGGACACCCACCUCCCUGAGCUGGCGCCUUGGGGCCGGCGGUCUUCACGUGGCACACAGGAAGCAGCUGGACCAACUUCCCGUCAGACUUGCGGUAAUACUUGACGCCCGACAGAGACUGCACUGGAUGUAGGAUCAUCCUCGGCGGGUUCGGUAAGGGUCCGGGCGCCUGGGGGGCCACGACCGAUAUAGGAACAGCUUUGCGUGGGCCGGGGACUUGAAGGAGCAACAUUUGGGGGGCUUUAGAAGCCGUGGGGGUCCCGCUCUUUUUGAGCUGCGGGUCUAAAAACAGACGGUAAAAGUUCAGGUCAAAGGGCGAGUCCAACCAGACGGCGGCACAAGAGACACGAGUGCUUACCUGUGGGGGCCAACGCCACAGUGGUGGUGGCGGGGAGCACAGAUGGGGCGGAGCUGACCGAGUCCCGAGGACGUCUGCAGCGCAGUAAAAAGGCCUUGCGCCUCUGGGUGGAGGCUGCGCGGCCCGUCAGGAACGCUGCCAGGCGGUUGGCCGGGUGGAGCGCCCCCAUCCUGCCCAACUCAAUCUUUACCAGGUUGAAGUCCUUCCCGUUGACCUGCAGAACCACAGAGACGAUUACGUACACACUGGAACAGCGCCGCACACGGGCAGCAGCAGGAGCUCGUCCACCUCCUGCAAGAGGUAGAGCGCGGAGCGAAGAGUCAAAGCGGUACAGGUCCUGUUCCAGAUCUUUAGUUUUCACAACUCUGUUUUUCCAAUAAAUAUCCGUCUUUUAUCAAGUCCCUGAUUGGUCACAGCCCUGAGUUACUGCAGGAUUCAAUAUAAAAACGUUCCAUUGGUUGAACAGUAAACGCACAAUCAAUGGACGCCGGAUUUGUAUGCAGAAGUGCUGCUGCAAACGAUUAUUUUAAUAGUCGAUUAAUCGGCGAUUAUUUUUUCCGAUUAGUCGACUAAUCGACUGAUGCGCAGAGUGGAUGUAAAACACAAAUCUUAACCAUCAUGAGCUGUAAACUAACUAAAACUAGAUAUAUAGCAUUACCUGCAAUUAU